GAUGAACGCUGGCGGCGUGCCUAACACAUGCAAGUCGAACGGAGUCCAGCCUUUAAGACCUUCUGGUCAAAGAGGGGAAGACUGAGUGGCGGACGGGUGAGUAACACGUGGGCAACCUGGCUCAUAGAGGGGGAUAACAGAGAGAAAUUUCUGCUAAUACCGCAUAAGCACACACUUCCGCAUGGCAGAGGGUGAAAAGAGAAUCGCUAUGAGAUGGACCCGCGUCUGAUUAGCCAGGUUGCAGGGUAAGAGCCUACCAAAGCGACGAUCAGUAGCCGAUCUGAGAGGAUGAACGGCCACAUUGGGACUGAGACCCGGCCCCAACUCCUACGGGAGGCAGCAGUAGGGGAUAUUACACAAUGGGGCGAACCCUGAUGAAGCGACGCCGCGUGAGUGAAGAAGUAGUUUGGUAUGUAAAGCUCUAUCAGCAGGGAGGAUAAUGACAGUACCUGAAUAAGAAGCCCCGGCUAACUACGUG
rnacentral:rRNA from 1 species